rnacentral:rRNA from 1 species
GAUGAACGCUGGCGGCGUGCCUAAUACAUGCAAGUCGAGCGAACGGACGAGAAGCUUGCUUCUCUGAUGUUAUCGGCGGACGGGUGAGUAACACGUGGAUAACCUACCUAUAAGACUGGGAUAACUUCGGGAAACCGGAGCUAAUACCGGAUAAUAUUUUGAACCGCAUGGUUCAAAAGUGAAAGACGGUCUUGCUGUCACUUAUAGAUGGAUCCGCGCUGCAUUAGCUAGUUGGUAAGGUAACGGCUUACCAAGGCAACGAUGCAUAGCCGACCUGAGAGGGUGAUCGGCCACACUGGAACUGAGACACGGUCCAGACUCCUACGGGAGGCAGCAGUAGGGAAUCUUCCGCAAUGGGCGAAAGCCUGACGGAGCAACGCCGCGUGAGUGAUGAAGGUCUUCGGAUCGUAAAACUCUGUUAUUAGGGAAGAGCAUAUGUGUAAGUAACUGUGCACAUCUUGACGGUACCUAAUCAGAAAGCCACGGCUAACUACGUG